UUUGUAUAUGAUAGACCACCAAAAAAC
rnacentral:piRNA from 1 species